rnacentral:misc_RNA from 1 species
UAAAAAAAAAAAAAAAAAAAAUAGGCUUACUCCGCAAUUGAAUCAAAAUUCCAAUCCGAACUCAAACGUAGAUUGAUGUUUUGUUCAAAAAAAAAUCCGAAAAAAAAAAAUUGGAUUGUCGUGUCGUAAGAAAAAAAAAACGAAUUGGGGAAGAAGAAAGUUUGUUUAUUAUUUCUUUUCGAAAAAAAAAAUGUUUUUGCUCAGUUUGACUACUUUACUUGAUCAUAUUAUCAUUAUAUUUUAUCAUACUAAUUUCUAUUCUACCUUCCCCGAAAUCAUUCUUCAGGAAAUUCCAUGUAAAACAUUCCACGAAUUCCUUUCAAUUUCCUUAUUUUUAUUUUAGAAUGUCAUUGGAAAUCAUAUAAAGACAAUUCCUAUUUAAUAUAGCUAUUUGUGCAAGUAUUUUACGAUUAAGAAGUAACUGUCUCUUGUACAGAUUGUUUAUUAAUCUACUAUAACUAUAGGAUACCAUACUCUCGCGAAUUACUGCAUUUAUCCGAGUGACCCACAAACGACGAAAAUUUCUUUUUUGCCUAUCUCUAUCCCGAUGGGCCGAAACCAAAGCUCUUAUUUUUUGUUGAAUAAUAGUUCGAGUAAGUCUUGAAUGGGCCCCGCGAAAGCUUGAUGCGAAUAAACGAAUUUUUGUUCUACGCCUCCGAGCUAUAUAUCCUCGUCUAAUUCUGGUCAUUGAAUAAACGAAAUUUUGAUGAAUAACUAAUUGAUUUCCUUUCUUUCAGUUAUUCUUUUUUUUCCCCUUUUCUAUAAUAACAAAACGGAUUCUUCCAGUGUAUAAAAUAAUAAUUCCAACGGCUUUUGCUACUAUAACCUUCCCAACCACGAUUUUUUUUGUUUGAGGCAUUUCACCUCGAAAUAAGAAACUGUAUUGAUAUUGGGUAUCGAAUAAAAAUAUUAUAAAUAAAAAUAAGUAGUAAAUAGAAAUAGAUAAAAAUGAUAAAUAAAUAGUGGGUUCCAUCGUUUCUAUGGUUACUUCUUAAACGGUGAGGUCUUCUCUAUACACCGGAGCCCCCUCCUUCAUUUAAUCAUUUAAUCAAUGCUAUUGUUAACGUGUACAGUUCACACUCUUUGGCGGCUCUACCCAUGAAUUAUCCAGUAAUAGGCCUUUCACAAGGAGAUCUAUCUAUACAGUAACGGUAUUUAAUUAUGAGGAUUAGUUAAUUAGUUGACCCUAUUAGUCCGUUCUUGCAAGAGUAGGGGCAUAAAUUUUGGCCUUUUAAUUUAAAUAAGAUUUCCCUGCUUAAUGGAUAAUCAUUUCCUACCAAUGGGAAAUUCUUUCUCGUUUUAAAUUGAAAAUUGAGGUGAUUGAAUUUGCACCAAUGAAACCAUAAAUUUGAUACACAAUAGACGAAUAUGAU